rnacentral:lncRNA from 1 species
GAGAAAGAACCCCUUCUUGAAACCCUGCCUUGUGUCCUAAUGUCAUGAGUCUUCUCAGCCCCCUUUGGGGAUGUCCUCAAGAUCAUGGAGGGAAUUCUUCUCCCAUCUUGUGGUUGAAUAUGCUGAGACAGAGGAUAUUGUCCUACUUUCCACCUCAUUCAAGAAGAAGAAAAUGCUAAGUAUGAAUUUCCAGUUUUCUCCAGUCCCUUUCCUGUUGCUAAAUGAAGAUCAUUCCAUCAUUGUGUAUCAAAUGCAGCAUUUGUGAAAAUACCUCCCGAUCAUCUUUCACAGGAAUUCUUUCCAAGUGAGAAAGCCACCAUAAAAGAAGAAGGCCACCAUUGUAUUUAUGAACUAUGCCCUGAUAUAUUUCAGGAGGCUGGUGAACACUCAUUGUAACAUUUAAGACUUUGUACAAUUUAAUCACAUUCAGGAGUAAUGAAUGAAGUUAAGACUGACAUAAAGCCCAGUAUUCUCAGCAGGAUGGCAUGUGGCAAAUUCACAGCAAUAAAAUAACAACAUACAUUGAAA